UCUAGAACUCUAGAUAUUAGUUGAACAUCGAACAGUGUCUGGACUGCAGGAUAGAUUCAGACUUUUUUUUUUGUUGCUAAGAUUUGAACUUGAAAAUGACAAUAGUGAAUUUUGGACUCUUCAUUAAUGUUUUAGACCCAUAUUUUUGCUUUCCAUC
rfam:Populus trichocarpa scaffold_2_contig_149, whole genome shotgun sequence.